rnacentral:lncRNA from 1 species
AGCCCAAGCUGCGGGCCCUGGGAGUGGAGACGCGGAGCUGCGGUCGCCGCUUUCUGGGCUCGCUCACCAGCCCGGGUGGAGUCCCGAGGUCUGCGCGUUUGUGCCGCUCUCCCCGCCUCGGUAACCUGCUCCUCCCUAGCGGGUGUCCUGGGCUGCCGUGGUGAGAUGGGGCCGGAGACGGACGAAGGCCUCACAGGAAACUUUGGGAGGCUCGCCUGGCCGCGGCCGGGAAGUGGCCGGACCGGCGAUGAUAAGCUGAGGCCGCCUGGAAGGGACUACUCGGCGGGUCGGCAGCCGGAAAGGAAUUCGGAGAGUGGGGGCGGAGGCGUGAUUAAAAUGUUAAGUGUGCCCGGAGGGCGCUGGGCGAUCCCUGGAGCUGAAAUCUCCGGGAAGGGAAGCUGCUUUAGGGCCGCGAGGCCCCCACCCCUAAAAUAGGCACUUUUCAGCCUCAGAAUUGGUCACUUUUUCCUGUACGUUCCCACGUUUUACUUGUAUCUGUUAUUAACGUGGAUUGCUUUAGAAUGGUUUUCAGCAACUCCAGUUUACUCUGAGUCCCUUAAGGACGGGAACUGUCUUUCAAUCCUGUACUCCCAGUGCCUGAGCCUGCCUAAAAAUGUUAGAAACUCAAUGCUGGAAUUGUAAUGGAUGUUUAAAAGCAUACAGCAGGUCCUGGGAGUGGCCCCCUAUAAUAAAUUCUUACCUCUUCGGGAGUCUAGAAUGCGUGGAGAACCCAAACGGGUCUGCUCUUCAGUGAUGGCCGUUUCUGAAGCGUCCUUCACCAAAAGAAUUUGGUGAAAAAUGAGUAAUGUGAACUACAAGAUUAUUACUAGGUGAUCAGUAACAGUAGGAUAGGUAUGCGUCAUUAUUCGAGGGUGUGACCCUCCCAUGUUCCUGUAGUAGACUUUUUAAGGCGGUGUUAUCUUUUGCAUUGGUUGAACCACAUAGCGUCAAUCCGGUAUUUCCCCUCCCUCUCAAAAACUGAGUUACAUAGGAGCCAAAGAAGAGUGGUGAAUAUUUUCUCUAAGCAGGGUUAUUUAUUUAACCGUAGAGAACAGCCCUACACAUAAAAAAACAUAAAUCUUAAGUUGGACUUUUUUUAAGUCUACUGUUUUAAAGCUAAAUAAACAAAAACCAACAUAAAAAUUUUAAAUAAGAGGCUUAAUUCUCCCUAUUGAAAAUGGAGGAUGAGAUUUCCCGUCCCUUUCUCUCCGAGCAUUUGUCUUAGAAAACUUAAGUACUUUCUUAAUUGUUAAGUACUUUCUCAACUCUUUGAAAUGUGUAUAAAUCCACUUGAGGACUAGAUAGGUCUUGUCAACUGUAUGCUCAGUCAGGAAUGUCUCUGGACCUUUUUUUUUUUUUUUUUUUUGAAAUGCUGCACAUAUCAACGGAGUAGCAUCCUUCCCUAUCUCCCAGUUUCUGUGAGAGAGUAGGAGCGUAACUUCGGUGAGCAACUUGCUCCGUGUUGCAAAACUACCUUCCGUCAUAAAGACAGGAGAAGUUUGUUUUUCCUCUGGAUAAAACCAAUUAACUAACACAGAUGGUCACCCCAAUUAUUAAGUAAAGUUAAUGUCACAAAUGUCAGGUCCUCUUACUUGAGGACUAGUUAUUGUUCAACUUGAAAACGUGUAUGUAAUGGGUCGUAUAUACUUGGCUAUACAAAAGGGCAAGAUUUCUGUCUUUGCAAUCUCUUAGCAAAUUGCCUGUGAUGUGUAUCACAGUCUCGUUUAAUGCUUAUUCAGUAAUAAAAGUGUUUUGUCUACUAACGUUUGUGGAGAGGAUUUCUGGGUUGGGAGAUUUUGGUUUUUAAUUAUAUUUUUCCAACAAUGCCUAUACCCAGAAUGUUGGGAUGACAAAGUUAAGGAAAGUAGUUACUUCGGAGUUUUUAAAUUGUUCUCUAAAAUGAUGGUUAAUGUUUCAUAUGUAUUUCAUAGUGAUUGUUAAAUGCACAAACUGUGGUUCUGUGAGUAAACUUCUUAAAAUAGAAGUUAAUUUUCUGUGAACAUCAAAUGUUAUAGUAUAUGUAAUGUCAAUAAGAAUGAAAUGAAUGAAAAUUUGGUUAGGUAAGGCCAAAAUACAACUUUGGAGACUGCUUCAUGACUGAAUACCUUUCCCAAGAACCUUAGAAUUUCUCCAUUUAUACAAAGGGAAUCAAAAUGUAGAAAGAUGUGGUUGGUGAAUACGUUAUUACAUAUUUGCAGAAAGUAGCUUUCAAUAAAGAUAUGGUAGAAAUAGAGCUGUUUGAUACACAACAUGUGUGUUUGUGUUAAGGAACCCAAAUCUAGAAAAAUCAGCAAGAAUCUUUCCAUAUCUACAAUUGUUCUCUGAGUUCUCACCUAUUCAUUCCAAAACCUUAAAAGCUGUCUACCAUAUGCCAGUCAUUGUGCUAGGAAAUGCAGUUGUGAAAGAAUAUACUUGAAGUAAAUGAAUGUGGCAAAAAUCUAUGCUGCAUUUUUGAAGCAUACAAAAAUAUAUAGCAAAUCCAGUUUCACAUUUUUUUCCUCUGUUGGAAUUAUCACAUUGCAUUGCAACACAUUUAAUAAACACUGUGUGUCACCUUAGUAUAUAUUCCAUGUUCUCAAAUACCAAACUUUGUCUGUUCUAAUAGCAUUACUUACUGGACAAUGAAAAUAAUAAUGUGGACAUCAAACCUAGGUGGGUAAUAAAAAAUGAUUGAAAAGUUUUUUACUUUUUUUGAUUAGCACCAUCCAUGCCUCACCCCAUCUCUCCACCUCCCUUUUUUCCUGUUUAAAAGUAUAGACUGCAAGAGGAAUCUUGGUUGUGUGCCAUCUUAGUUCAGUAGUUCCAAUACUUACCCCUCCCUCCUUUUCUUCAUCUGUGUCUCUUUUCUGCCAACUCCUUUGAUUUGUGACUCUCUGCUUUCUAAUCCACAAUUCAUACCUAUCCACAAUUCAUAACUAACCAUACACACAUACUGCUCCUAAAAUAGAGAUCAUGAUGAGGUAUGCAAUAUGGAAACCAUAUCUAUCCUUAUUCUAUACAUGCUGCAGUGUUUGUUUUCAGUGGAUAUAUAUUUUUUUCUUUUUGAAAAUUGUUCUCUUGAAUGAAUACUGUUCCUAGAGGUCACAUUUGUGUGAAAUUUUCU